CGUGUGUGUUUUUGUUAUGUUGUUUGUUAUCAAAUAUCUAGAAAGUUCUACUUAUUCCAAAAUAUAUAUAUAUAUAUAAUAAUUGAAACAAGAGACAAGAGAAAAGAGUGAGACCCCUACUGCCAAUUCCAUUACAUGCUUAUGAUAUAUUUUGUUGUCUCUUCAAGAAAAUAUUUUGCUUUACACAUAUGGAUCCUGACACAUGUUUUGUUUUUGUUUUUGUUUUGUCUCUUGAAAUCUGACAGUAGGUAAUUGGUGUGGAUGAUGUGGUCUUAAGAGUGGCUUGUAUUUGCUGUAACUGGGAUGCAUUAUCUCUAAUGUUCUGGUGAGUGUGCAGGGCCUUGGAGGUGUAUGCUGGUCUCCUUUUUAGGGAAGUGGGUUAAGUGAAGUGACUACAUCAAUAGGUGCUAGUCUCCUUUUUAUUAUUUAUUUUUUUGCUAACUUUUGUUAAUGCAGGUUUUUCAAAGCUGGUACACAGUGUAGAGAUGUGUGGGUUGAGGGAUGGAUCAAUUAAGUGAGGCUUUGGAGCAAGCUGUCCAUCUGUUAUAGAACAAUUUUGAGUAGUUAUGCUGCUCAGUUAUACAUUGGUUGAGCUACCUACUGCUACAACCUGUGUAUAUGCUGCUGCUGUGUUUAGGCUGGGCAGGUUGGGCUUUCAUAGGGCUUACCAAUGCCACCAAAACGAUUGGCGCAGUCAUCUCUUCAACCUUCGCAUGAGGCAAUUUUUGUUUGGAAUGAGGAUUUACAUGACAAUGUGGAGACCCAACACUCACAGCCACUUGAUGUCGAUAUAGAGGCACAGAGGGAGGCAGCCCCCCAAUCUAGUGUCGAUUGGAGAUGAACGAAUUUGGUAACCUGCAUAGCAAGAACUUUUUGUUGAAAUUACUAGACACGUAUCCAUCAUAGUGCCAUUGUACUUUUUGUUGAUAUUACCAAACAUGUAUUUUGACUAUGUUGUCACGGGUUGUGAUUAUAUUGUGAUGGAUCUUAUCUUUUUGUUGAUACUAUCAAACAUAUAUUUUGACUAUGUUGUCGCUUUAUGCAAAUGAACAGGUUUUUGUAAUGAUCUGUAAUGGAUAUUAUAUUGAACAGAAUAUUAAAAUGCAUAAGUUAUUUUGA